rnacentral:rRNA from 1 species
UACGAAGGGGGCUAGCGUUGCUCGGAAUCACUGGGCGUAAAGCGCACGUAGGCGGCUUUGUAAGUUAGAGGUGAAAGCCCGGGGCUCAACUCCGGAAUUGCCUUUAAGACUGCAUCGCUAGAAUUGUGGAGAGGUAAGUGGAAUUCCGGGUGUAGAGGUGAAAUUCGUAGAUAUUCGGAAGAACACCAGUGGCGAAGGCGACUUACUGGACACAUAUUGACGCUGAGGUGCGAAAGCGUGGGGAGCAAACAGG